UACGUAGGGUGCGAGCGUUGUCCGGAAUUAUUGGGCGUAAAGGGCUCGUAGGCGGCUUGUCGCGUCGGGAGUGAAAACUCAGGGCUUAACCCUGAGCCUGCUUCCGAUACGGGCAGACUAGAGGUAUGCAGGGGAGAACGGAAUUCCUGGUGUAGCGGUGGAAUGCGCAGAUAUCAGGAGGAACACCGGUGGCGAAGGCGGUUCUCUGGGCAUUACCUGACGCUGAGGAGCGAAAGUGUGGGGAGCGAACAGG
rnacentral:rRNA from 1 species